GGGCAAGUAGCUCAACUGGCAGAGCAGCGGUCUCCAAAGCCGCAGGUUCCAGGUUCGAUCCCUGGCUGGCCCGC
rnacentral:tRNA from 1 species